GACAGAGGGUGCAAACGUUGUUCGGAAUUACUGGGCGUAAAGCGCGUGUAGGCUGCUCGGAAAGUCGGAUGUGAAAGCCCUGGGCUCAACCUAGGAAGUGCAUUCGAAACUUCCGAGCUGGAGUGCUGGAGAGGAAGGCGGAAUUCUCGGUGUAGAGGUGAAAUUCGUAGAUAUCGAGAGGAACACCUGCGGCGAAGGCGGGUUGCUGGACUGAUACUGACGCUGAGGCGCGAAAGCUAGGGGAGCGAACGGG
rnacentral:rRNA from 1 species